rnacentral:lncRNA from 1 species
AAGUCUUUCUCUUCAACUCUGGGAUUGUUGCCAUCUAUAUCAGUGAAUAGAACUCCUGAAUGAACCUGAGAAAUGAUAUGCAUGCAGAGAUUAGUUUUUUUUCUUUUCUUUUUUUUUUCAAUCUUUUUUAUUGUGUAUUUUUUUGAAAAUAAACAUGCUAUGAUGCAAAUGAUGCAGACAAGACUGGCAGGCUGUGCAUCUCUGAA